UACGGAGGAUCCGAGUAUUAUCCGGAUUUAUUGGGUUUAAAGGGUGCGCAGGCGGGAGAUUAAGUCGGCGGUGAAAUUUUGCAGCUUAACUGUAAAAGUGCCAUCGAUACUGGUUUCCUUGAGUGUAGAUGAAGUAGGCGGAAUUUGUGGUGUAGCGGUGAAAUGCAUAGAUAUCACGAGGAACUCCGAUUGCGCAGGCAGCUUACUAAACUACUACUGACGCUCAGGCACGAAGGCGUGGGGAUCAAACAGGAUUAGAUACCCCCGUAGU
rnacentral:rRNA from 1 species